rnacentral:rRNA from 1 species
UACGAAGGGGGCUAGCGUUGCUCGGAAUCACUGGGCGUAAAGGGUGCGUAGGCGGGUCUUUAAGUCAGGGGUGAAAUCCUGGAGCUCAACUCCAGAACUGCCUUUGAUACUGAGGAUCUUGAGUUCGGGAGAGGUGAGUGGAACUGCGAGUGUAGAGGUGAAAUUCGUAGAUAUUCGCAAGAACACCAGUGGCGAAGGCGGCUCACUGGCCCGGAUA